AGAUGCUCAGACAUUCCGACCCCCCGUGUGGGCCAGACCUGCGAAUGAGCAAAUCAUCCUGAAGGUUUAUCCGUCGAGCCUUUACAUGACUCGAACCCAGCCCCGCCCCGUUCGGCUGAAACUGCUUCAGAAUACCUAAGCCAGAACUGCCCGGCUGAGUCCUAGCAACUCACUGACCCAUGAAAGGUCACUGUCUCAACAAUUCCUGUGGAAUCCUGGGGGAUGACCCUGUUAUGGGUUGAAUUGUGUUCUCUAAAAGGAUAUGCUGGGAGUCCUAACCCCUGGUACCUGCGCAUAUGACCUUAUUUGCAAAUAGGGCCUUCGCAGAUGUAAUCAAGUGAAGUUGAGAUCGUUGGGUGGGCCCUCAUCCAAUAUGACCAGUGACCUUACAAGAAGAUGGAAAUUUGCUCAUAGACAUGCACCGAGGGGUGACAAUGUGAAGACACAGAAGGAAGAAGGCCAUACGAAGACAGAAGCAGAGAUUGGAGGCACGAGGCCACAAGCCAAGGAACGCCCGGGGCUACCAGAAGUGGGAAGAGACAAGGAAGCAUCCUUGUCUAGCGGCUUCAGAGGGAGCGUGACUUUGCCUGUGCCUUGAUUUUGGACUUCUACCUUCUAGAACUGUGAAACAACAAACUUCUAUUGCUUCGAGCCACCCAGUUUGGGGCACUUUGUUCGAGCAGCCUUCGAAAACUAAUAUCAACUUCGGUGUCUGCUCAGGACAGAAUGGCGACCACGGAGAAUUCUGGACGGGGCGGAGGAAGAGAUUGCUCCCUUCUGUACUUUGAGCGGCAGCAAAGGGCUAUGACCAUUGCCCUCCUGGAUGCAGAAGGAGGCACUGGCCUCAUUAUAUGCAUACACCAUGACUGCUGUCUUAAACUCCAAUACUGCUGAACAAUUCAGAAAUAGAUCCAUUAUAGGUCUGCUUUAGCCCCAGGGCUUUAACACGGGUCACUAGAAAAUCCAAGAUUGCACAGUAAUUCAAACUCUUAAGAGGGAAAGGAAAAAAAAAAUUCUCUUCAGCACUCCCCCCCGCCCAGAGUCCCUCCCUCCAGCAUCACAGGGAGCCCCUCUUCAUUUCCGUAGUGCUUUAGAAUAAAUAGCUCUUAUGUUGAACUUGAAAUCUAAAUUUUUCGCCAGCUAUUAAUUGAUAAGAGAAGCUCGUUUUCCCUCUU